UGGGGUUUCUUAUUUCGCUCUACACCCUUUGUGACAUACCUAUAACUGUUGCUUCGGCGGGCAGGGUCUCCGUGACCCUCCCGGCCUCCCGCCCCCGGGCGGGUCGGCGCCCGCCGGAGGAUAACCAAACUCUGAUUUAACGACGUUUCUUCUGAGUGGUACAAGCAAAUAAUCAAAACUUUUAACAACGGAUCUCUUGGUUCUGGCAUCGAUGAAGAACGCAGCGAAAUGCGAUAAGUAAUGUGAAUUGCAGAAUUCAGUGAAUCAUCGAAUCUUUGAACGCACAUUGCGCCCGCCAGCAUUCUGGCGGGCAUGCCUGUUCGAGCGUCAUUUCAACCCUCAAGCUCUGCUUGGUGUUGGGGCCCUACAGCUGAUGUAGGCCCUCAAAGGUAGUGGCGGACCCUCCCGGAGCCUCCUUUGCGUAGUAACUUUACGUCUCGCACUGGGAUCCGGAGGGACUCUUGCCGUAAAACCCCCAAUUUUCCAAAGGUUGACCUCGGAUCAGGUAGGAAUACCCGCUGAACUUAAGCAUAUCAAUAAGCGGAGGAA
rnacentral:rRNA from 1 species